AUUGAACGCUGGCGGCAGGCUUAACACAUGCAAGUCGAGCGGAGCGAGGGUGCUUGCACCUUAGCUUAGCGGCGGACGGGUGAGUAAUGCUUAGGAAUCUGCCUAUUAGUGGGGGACAACAUUCCGAAAGGGAUGCUAAUACCGCAUACGCCCUACGGGGGAAAGCAGGGGAUCGUCGGACCUGGCGCUAAUAGAUGAGCCUCGGUCGGAUUAGCUAGUUGGUGGGGUAAAGGCCUACCAAGGCGACGAUCUGUAGCGGGUCUGAGAGGAUGAUCCGCCACACUGGGACUGAGACACGGCCCAGACUCCUACGGGAGGCAGCAGUGGGGAAUAUUGGACAAUGGGCGGAAGCCUGAUCCAGCCAUGCCGCGUGUGUGAAGAAGGCCUUUUGGUUGUAAAGCACUUUAAGCGAGGAGGAGGCUACUAGUAUUAAUACUACUGGAUAGUGGACGUUACUCGCAGAAUAAGCACCGGCUAACUCUGUGCCAGCAGCCGCCGUAA
rnacentral:rRNA from 1 species